rnacentral:lncRNA from 1 species
UCAGAUUCAAGUGUGCUUUGGGAGGAAGUGAGAGUGGGUAUUUAUAGGAAUUCAAGAACCGUUAAGAUCGUUCAUCGAAAACUGAGCUUUGAUCUGGACCUUACAUGUGUGCCCAUGGUUUUCUAAAACCAUGGGAGCCCCUAAUAUGAUCAUAAUGGACUAUGUUCAUUGAAUACCAUCCCAUGGUUUUGCAAAACCAUGGGUUAAAACCAUCAACACUUCAAAAUGGACUAGGUUCAUUG